CUCUCUUCCGCAACCCCGCGGAAUACAAUAAUUCCGUCAACAUUUUAAUAGUUAGAAUUCCAUCGUAAGUUCCGGGGAGUUCAAGCAGGCGUAGACGACAUUAAAGCAAACAACUGAGAUUAUUAAUCGUGCGGAACUACCAAUUCAGCAUGGGAAGGAAAUACUGCUGUGUUCCAGGAUGUUCAAAUACAUCAUCAACAGUUACCCCGGAAGGCAUAAAAAUUGUUCUCCAUCGGUUACCUAUGUCAGAGGAAAAAACCCAAACUAAAACAAGAAUGGAUUCGCAUGCUGAGAAAUGUGCAUGCAAAUUUAAUUGUUAAUGACAGUACUAGAGAUUUUUCACAACCUUGCAUUUGUUAACAUUCACAAAAUUGUAUUCAUUUUAUAGAAUUUGUGUUUAUGGUUGAUGUACAUUUUUUUUUUAUGCAAGUACUAUUUCUGUUGUGUUCUUCUUUAUAUGUCUUGAUUAUGUUCAGCAAUACAUUUAUUUAUACAAGUGUUAAAUAAAAUAUGAAGAUCCUUUUAAUAAAUUGUUUACCAAA